rnacentral:rRNA from 1 species
CGAGGGGAGCUAGCGUUGUUCGGAAUUACUGGGCGUAAAGGGCGCGUAGGCGGUCCUAUAAGUCAGAUGUGAAAGCCCCGGGCUUAACCUGGGAGGUGCAUUUGAAACUGUAGAACUGGAGAUCGAGAGAGGAAAGUGGAAUUACGAGUGUAGAGGUGAAAUUCGUAGAUAUUCGUAAGAACACCAGUGGCGAAGGCGACUUUCUGGCUCGAUACUGACGCUAAGGCGCGAAAGCGUGGGGAGCAAACAGGAUUAGAUACCCUGGUAGUCCACGCUGUAAACGAUGAGUGCUAGAUGUUGGUGAAGGAAUUCAUCAGUGUCGCAGCUAACGCAUUAAGCACUCCGCCUGGGGAGUACGGUCGCAAGAUUA